rnacentral:lncRNA from 1 species
CUGAGACACAGGAAGAAACCUUCCCUAUUUUUUUUUUAAUGAAUUGUUGACUAACCAUACUGUCUAUUCUCCAGAAAGGGGAAAGCUUCUUGAAAUAGCUGGGACACUCUUGAGAGCCUUCAAAGAGAAGGAAUUCACCUGGAAAGGGGCUGGAGAAAGGCCCCUCCAUCCAAGAAAGUAUGAGGAAAAUUGGACUGGAUGAGGCUGAGCAUCACCUGGCACACGGGCCCAGGCCUGGGCUUCAUGGACAUGGAGAAUAUAUCUUCAAGCUCUGGGGAAUACAGGACUCUACCCCCUUCACCUCGCCAUAGUGCUGGUAAACUUCCUUCCCAUGUGUGCCCUUGAGACUCUUCUGGAAGAAAUCUGCUCUCCUUUCCUCUUCCUGGACAACCAAAACAGGUGGGAGCAAUUCAAAUUCAAUUCUCCUUUUAUUCAGUUGCCUUCUGAUC